GACUCGUUAGCUCAGUGGGUUAGAGCGCCGAUAUACAGUUUUACUUGACUAUCGGAGGGCGGAGGUUCAAAUCCUUCACGAGUCA
rnacentral:tRNA from 1 species